rnacentral:tRNA from 1 species
UCUCAUCUAGCUUAUUUAGAAAGUGUUGAUUUGAAGCGUCGGAGAUUGUAUUAUUACGGUGGG